rnacentral:rRNA from 1 species
UGGCGAACGGGUGAGUAACACGUGGGUAAUCUGCCCUGCACUCUGGGAUAAGCCUGGGAAACUGGUUCUAAUACUGGAUAUGACCUUUCUCCUUAUGGGGUUUGGUGGAAAGUUUUUCGGUGUAGGAUGAGCCCGCGGCCUAUCAGCUUGUUGGUGGGGUGAUGGCCUACCAAGGCGACGACGGGUAGCCGGCCUGAGAGGGUGAUCGGCCACAUUGGGACUGAGAUACGGCCCAG